AACGAACGCUGGCGGCGCGCCUAACACAUGCAAGUCGAACGAGAAUCCGGGGCAACCCGGUAGUAAAGUGGCAAACGGGUGAGGAAUACAUGGGUAACCUACCCUUGAGAAGGGAAUAACCCGCCGAAAGGUGAGCUAAUACCCUAUACGCUAUCUUUUUUUCGAAAGGAAUAGGAAAGACCGGGUCGGAGGACCUGGUACUCAAGGAGGGGCGUCAUGUCCUAUCAGCUUGUUGGUGGGGUAACGGCCUACCAAGGCUACGACGGGUAGCUGGUCUGAGAGGAUGAUCAGCCACACUGGCACUGAGAUACGGGCCAGACUCCUACGGGAGGCAGCAGUGAGGAAUAUUGCGCAAUGGGCGAAAGCCUGACGCAGCGACGCCGCGUGGGGGAGUGAAGGUUUUCGG
rnacentral:rRNA from 1 species